rnacentral:rRNA from 1 species
CCUACGGGAGGCAGCAGUGAGGAAUAUUGGUCAAUGAGCGAGAGCCUGAACCAGCCAAGUCGCAUGAGGGAGUACUGCCCUAUGGGGUGUAAACCUCUUUUGUCGGGGAGCAAAAGCCGGACGUGUCCGGCUGUGAGAGUACCCGAAGAAAAAGCAUCGGCUAACUCCGUGCCAGCAGCCGCGGUAAUACGGAGGAUGCGAGCGUUAUCCGUAUUUAUUGGGUUUAAAGGGUGCGCAGGCGGAUUUUUAAGUCAGCGGUCAAAGCGUGGGGCUCAACCCCAUGCAGCCGUUGAAACUGGGGAUCUAGAGUGCGCGAGAGGUAUGCGGAAUGCGGGGUGUAGCGGUGAAAUGCAUAGAUAUAACGCAGAACCCCGAUGGCGAAGGCAGCAUACCGGUGCACAACUGACGCUCAGGCACGAAAGCGUGGGUAUCGAACAGGAUUAGAUACCCCGGUAGUC